rnacentral:tRNA from 1 species
GGACCAGUAACUCAGUUAGUCAGAGUACCAUCCUUUUAAGAUGGGAGUCGUGGGGGCGGGACCCACCUGGUCCA